ACAUGUAAAUGAUGAUUAACCAUGCUCGUGGGAAUCUCUCUGAAUAUCAAUGAGGAGUAGCUUGUCUGAUACAUGU